UACGGGGGGGGGCAAGCGUUGUUCGGAAUUACUGGGCGUAAAGGGCUCGUAGGCGGCCAACUAAGUCAUACGUGAAAUCCCUCGGCUCAACCGGGGAACUGCGUGUGAUACUGGCGGGCUUGAAUCCGGGAGAGGAAUGCGGAAUUCCAGGUGUAGCGGUGAAAUGCGCAGAUAUCAGGAGGAACACCGGUGGCGAAGGCGGUUCUCUGGGCAUUACCUGACGCUGAGGAGCGAAAGUGUGGGGAGCGAACAGG
rnacentral:rRNA from 1 species